AACGAACGUUAGCGGCGCGCUUAACACAUGCAAGUCGCACGAGAAAGGGCUUCGGCCCCGGUACAGUGGCGCACGGGUGAGUAACACGUGGAUAAUCUUCCCUUUGGCGGGGGAUAACCUUCCGAAAGGAGGGCUAAUACCGCAUAAGACCACGAUCUCGAAAGAGGUUGAGGUUAAAGCAGGCCUCUAUUCAUAAGCUUGCUCCAGAGGAUGAGUCCGCGGCCCAUCAGCUAGUUGGCAGGGUAAAAGACCUACCAAGGCUAAGACGGGUAGCUGGUCUGAGAGGA
rnacentral:rRNA from 1 species